UCCCAAGUGUCUAGGACUGUGUGAUGUAUUUUCGGAUGAUUGCGCGCAGAUCCCAGCAGGGUGGCCUUUUGCAGUUGGCAGAUGGUGAUUUUGUCAAUGUCUAUUGUUUCCAAAUGCCAGCUGAGAUCUUUUGGCAUGACACCCAGUGUGCCCAUCACCACCGGGACCACCUGCACUGGUUUCUGCCAGAGUCUUUGAAGUUCAAUAUUGAGGUCCUGAUAGCGGCUGAGUUUUUCCUGUUGUUAUUAUUAUUAUUAAUAUUAUUAUUAUUAUUAUCUUGAUGAAACUGUCCAUUCCUAGGACUACGCCUCCCAAAUUCCUCAGCUAAGAUAGUCAGUGGCCAUGUUGCCUGGAAAUUCUGGAUGCUCUAGUUGAAACCCAUGGUCAAUGUCACUGACUGUUCUUUUUUGAUGGUUGGCGGGAGCUGCCCAGAUCUCUCUCAAUGAGAUCCUUUGGGCAUGAAAAGUAGGAUGCUUUGCCUCUUCCCAGUGAUGUGAGAGAUGCUUUGUGUCCUGCAGGAGGACAUUGUGAAGAGUCUGAAGAAGGACAUUUCCACGUUGCUCAAGCUGCUCUUGCUGCAGGAAGACCAGCUGGCUGUGAAGCUACCAGAUAUAGACCGUGAAUUCAGAGAUAUCACAAUGCUCAUCGAGGAAUUUGAAAAGUGAUUAGUGAGGAAAAGUUGACCAAAAUGUGGCUUCUUAAAUCAUUACUUUUAUGUGUUUGCUAUCAUUUUUCUCUAAACGAUGUCACUCCUUGGGGUCAAAAAUGACAGUAAAUGGAGGUUAUAUUAAUAUAGAUUUUUUAAAAAUAUAUAUUUUUACAUUUCUAAUCACACCUAACAAAGUACAGUAGAGUCUCACUUAUCCAACAUAAAUGGGCCGGCAGAAUGUUGGAUAAGUGAAUAUGUUGGAUAAUAAGGAGGGAUUAAGGAAAAGCCUAUUAAACAUCAAAUUAGAUUAUAAUUUUACAAAUUAAGCACCAAAACAUCAAAACAACAAAUUUGACAGAAAAAGUAGUUCAAUACGAAGUAAUGCUAUGUAGUAAUUACUGUAUUUACAAUUUAGCACCAAAAUAUCACGAUGUUUUGAAAUCAUUGACUACAAAAAUGUGUUGGAUAAUCCAGAAUGUUGGAUAAGUGAGACUCUACUGUAUGAAUUUAGGUGGGAUUUCUAUAGAGGCUCUUCUGCUUUUGUGUCUUUACUUUUCCAAAUUGUUAGCUCUUGCUCUUAUCAUCUUUCACAAAAAUUCCACAAUAGAUCUCAUACAAUGAGAGCAGUCAAAAAGUUUAAGAUUAAUUUUGCAUAUCUUUGCUUUUCGAGUAGGUGAGCUGGUGGAAGUUAAGAAAGGCCACAAUAUGGUCUUCAAGAAAUCUCUCUUUUAUUGCAACUGCAAAUUAUUAGUUUCUUUUGAUAACUUUGUCACUGCUUUAAUUAUAUAUAUAUUUGAUAUUAUUUCUUCAGACAACUUCUCCUUUAUUCAGUUACUGAACUGUUUUUGUUAUUUCUUCAUUUCCUGUAUUGUUAUGCAUGCAUCUGUUGCCUUCAUGUUAUGCUGAAUCAUGAGCCAAAAUAAAACAUUUAGUCCAUUCUG